rnacentral:rRNA from 1 species
UUUUUUUUAUUUGAAUAAAUGUUUAAAAUUUGUUUUGUGAACUGGAUUAGUACCCAGGUAAUCAAAAUUUAUUAAUUCGGGGGUAAAGUUAUAUUUAAACCGAAAGAAUAUUGACUGACUUUAGAUUUUUCUUUGGAAUAUGUGUUAGGAGAGCCCUCCUUAUUGGUAUUUUUUUUUUGGCACAUGUAUGAUUGUUUUGUUGCUAUAUUAUUUGUAGUGCUUUAGACUUUUUUGUUUUAAAACAGAUAUAUACUUGGCUUAUAAAAUUUUUUCGCAUGUAUUACUAUUUUUAAUUUUUUUUGGAUAUUUUUUUUAUUUUUUUUUGAAAUUGGAAAAGAAAGUAA